rnacentral:lncRNA from 1 species
ACCGCCCCGCCCGACCCCACAGAACCUCGCGGGCCCUACACUCCCCCUGCCGAGGUUGAAGUCCCCAGCGGUUGGAAGAUCGGCCAAUUGUAGUGUAUUUAUCAGAAAAGUGACUCAUCCUUGAUCCUCAUUUCCCGGUUUGUGGAACUCUGUGAGGAAAGCCCUGCAGUUAGGCUCAAUAAAAGACAGAAAUUCCUGUCGCAGCGCUCAUAAUUCAUUUCCCUCUAGGUCUGUCGCCUUUGUAGAAACCCCGAGGAUGGCAACCUUCAACCUGGAGAUCCCUGAAGCCUUGACCAGGGAGGUUUACAGUGAAGCGUUCCUAUUAGCGACUACAGCUAUCUAACCUCAGUUCCUCCUGCUGCAGUUUCGGUCCCUUUCUCCUCCUCCUCCAGCAACCACGCCCUCCAUGAAUCAGCUUCUUGCACCAGCAGAUGAGCCCUUUAAAGGGAUUGCAUCAGGGAUAACGCUUGGGGGAUCACUGUGAGGACUCGGAGUUAUAGAAACAGCUUUUUGCAAGACCCAGCGAGCACUCAUACUCAUCUCAGUUGAAGGGCUUCAAUGAGGUGCAGGAAUGUGUGUGCCGAGCUCCCACAC